UACGUAGGGAGCGAGCGUUGUCCGGAUUUACUGGGUGUAAAGGGUGCGUAGGCGGGUCUGUAAGUCAGACGUGAAAUACCGAGGCUCAACCUCGGGGCUGCGUUUGAAACUGCGGAUCUUGAGUGAAGUAGAGGUAAGCGGAAUUCCUAGUGUAGCGGUGAAAUGCGUAGAUAUUAGGAGGAACACCAGUGGCGAAGGCGGCUUACUGGGCUUUAACUGACGCUGAGGCACGAAAGCGUGGGGAGCAAACAGG
rnacentral:rRNA from 1 species